rnacentral:lncRNA from 1 species
AAAUUAGGCAAAGAAAUAACAAGUGGGUCCCAAGCAGUUGGACGUGGGAUCGACCGGGAUCACAAAGACACUCCUUAUGUACAUGGUAGGCCCUUCUCAAUAAACUACCUACAAUAGACAAUAUGAAAAGAAGAGGUAUCUAUCAUGUUAAUCGAUGCUCCCUUUGUUUGCAACAAGAAGAAACUGUUGACCACCUUUAUUUUGCUUGUAAUUAUACAAAAUGGAUAUGGAAGGAGAUUCUCCAGCGAUUUGAACUCAAUAGACUGCCGCAACCAAACUUGCACCAAAAACUAGGCGACCUUAUGCAAUGUUUCUCAAGAAAAGGGCCUCUUACACAACUG